rnacentral:rRNA from 1 species
CCUACGGGCGGCAGCAGUAGGGAAUCUUUCACAAUGGGCGAAAGCCUGAUGGAGCAACGCCGCGUGCAGGAUGAAGGCCUUCGGGUUGUAAACUGCUUUUAUAAGCGAGAAAUAUGAUGGUAACUUAUGAAUAAGGAUCGGCUAACUACGUGCCAGCAGCCGCGGUCAUACGUAGGAUCCGAGCAUUAUCCGGAGUGACUGGGUGUAAAGAGUUGCGUAGGUGGCAUAAUAAGUAGCUAGUGAAAUCUGGUGGCUCAACCAUUCAGACUAUUAGCUAAACUGUUAAGCUCGAGACCGUUAGGGGUAACUGGAAGUUCUAGUGUAGGAGUGAAAUCCGUAGAUAUUAGAAGGAACACCAAUAGCGUAGGCAGGUUGCUGGGACGGUUCUGACACUAAGGCACGAAAGCGUAGGGAGCAAUCGGGAUUAGAUACCCCUGUAGUC